CCACCAGACCACCAGGGAUGGAAUCCCCCCCCCAUCCCUGGACACAGGUAAGAAGCAGGGAGGGGGGAGAAACAUUUAAUUAAUUUAAUAGGAAAUUUAUGUGAAAAUUCCCCUCCCCUCCCAGAUUGCACAUUUACACACACACACACUGCAUACACUAACACAACACACACUCUGCAUACACUAAUACAACACACACACUACAUACACUAAUACAACACACACUGCAUACACUAACACAACACACACACUGCAUACACUAAUACAACACACACUCUGCAUACACUAACACAACACACACUGCAUACACUAAUACAACACACACACUGCAUACACUAACACAACACACACUGCAUACACUAAUACAACACACACUGCAUACACUAACACAACACACACACUGCAUUCACUACACUAACACACACACACUGCAUAGACUAACACACACGCACUGCAUACACUAAUACAACACACACACCACAUACACUAACACAACACACACUGCAUGCACUAAUACAAAAUAAAACACUGCAUACACUAACACAACACAUACACUGCAUACACUAAUACAGCACACACUCUGCAUACACCAAUACAACACUCACGCUUCAUACACUAAUACAACACACACUCUGCAUACACUUCCCUGACACACACUCUGCAUACAUUAGUACAACACACACUCUGCAUUCACUACACUAACACACACUCUGCAUUCACUACACACUAACACACUCUCUGCAUUCACUACACUGACACACUCUCUGCAUUCACUACACAUGAACACACUCUCUGCAUUCACUACAAUAACACACACUCUGCAUUAACUGUACACACAGCAUCCACUACACAAACAUCCUGUAUUCACAGUACACACACUACAUCCACCACAAACUGAAACACUCUGCAUUCACUUUACACAGACACUGCGUCUAAUACACACAUUACAUCCACUACAGACACUGCAUCCACUAAACACAUUUCAUCUAGUACACACAAACACUACAUCCACAACACAAACACACACUACAUCACUGUACACACACUACAUCCACUACUCAAACACACUCUGCGUUCACUAUACACACUGCAUCCGCUACACAAACACACACUCUGCAUUCACUGCUCAAACAGUAUCUAAUACACACAAACACUACAUCCAUUACACACAUUCUAAUUAACUUCCACUAUACACACCACAUUCAGUCCUGCAUCAUUGUCAGUGGACUAGGUAGGGCGUGAGCGGGCCCAAAAUUUCAGAUUUUGUAUCUGUAUGUCAGUGUGUGUAUCUGAGUAUGUCUGUGUGUGUGUGUAUGUUAGUGUUCUGAGUGUUUGUGUCAGUGUGUGUAUCUGUAUGUCAGUGUGUGUAUCUCUGUUUCAGUGUGUAUCUGUGUGAGUGUGGAAAAACAACUUUAUUGGCAACCACAGCCCGAGCCCGAAACAGCAUAAUUUUUUCAAUGAAAAAAAGCAGUUUGUGGCAAAACGUGUGUUACAUAAGUUGCCAUAUAUCUGUAUGACCUGAGUAUACCACAAAUUAGGGCUAUGUAAAAAAUCAAUAAUUAAAAAAAAGAGGAAAUAAUCAAUUAAAAAAGGGGAAUAUCCCCCUAAAGUUACAAUGAAUGUAGAAAAGUAUUUGUGGUACACCUCACAUUCUAUUAUAUUAAAAAUAGAAAAUAAAGAAAACAUUUAUGAAAUCUGGCUGAAUCCGCUUAAGGUGCAAAAAAGGUAAACAUUUUAAAACAAAUGGCUAAAGAACCAUCAAAGAUAAAGGUGCAUAAUAUAUCAUGGGGUAAAAGAGAGUCAUAAAUAAUCCGUAUAAAUAUGAAUCCCAUUAAUAAAAUGUGGGAAUAGAUAGAACACUCCAAUAUAAAAAAAAGAAAAGAAAAACAUAGUACUAAAAAAUAUAUAUAUUGAAGACAACAAUAUUUAUCCAAAAAACAAUUAUUUCCCAAAGAAUUUAAAAAAAUGCAAAAAAAUCCCAAUCUGUAUUCAAACCAUAUGGAAUAUAGGUUUUAAGUUUAUAGAUCCAUUCUGUUUCUUUUCUCGCCAAGGCCCUCAAUGUAUCACCUCCUCUCCAAUGUGGUAUUAUUCUGUUGAUUCCUAUACAAACAAAAUCUUUAAAAUUAAAACAGGGACAUUUAUGACAGUGUCUAGCCAUGCUAUGUUUUUCAUUUUUAUUUCUAAUAACAUUAAAAUGUUCUAGCAACCUUUAGUGCAAUUUCCGAAUCGUGUAUCCUAUAUAUUGAAUCCCGCAUUUACACUGUAGCAAAUACACAAAAUUUUUGCUUUGACAAUUGAUAAAAAAUGUUUUAUUUCAAACGACUCCCCUGUACUAAAACUUUUAAAAGUGAUCAUUUUUCUUGCCUGGAAUUUGGACUUACUACAACUACCACACCUGUGGAAUCCCUUCGGUUGUUGAGGUAAAAAAAGGUCCUUUUUUUUUUCUUAUUGUUUUUAGGAAGUACACUCGGGGCCAAAUUCAUUUUGAGGUUCUCAGUUUUCUUAUAUAUGAUCUUGGGUCUUUCUGGUAUAAUAUUCUGAAGGUAUACUAAUCUUUUAUUAAAGGCUUCCAUUAAAAUGGCCUCAAGAUUAUCUCUAAAAUGGAGCUGGAUUAUUUGUAUAUUCAGCAUCCAAAAUUGGCAUUUUUUACCACCUGCCCAAGAUCCACAAAAAUCUAGAUAACCCACCUGGUAGACCAAUUAUUAGUGGGAUUGGAUCGUUGACCAGUAAUUUAUCAGAAUAUAUAGAUUUUUAUCUACAGAAAUUUGUCUCUCAAGCACCUUCCUAUAUAAAAGAUUCUGCCCACAUAAUAAGAGAAAUGGAGGGCCUUCAAUUGAGAGAGGAUUACAUCUGGGCUACUAUAGAUGUAACUAUAAUAGACCAUCAUAAAGAGAUUAGGGCUGUAUAGGAAGUUCUCACCCGUGAUGAACAAAUGUCUCAGAAACAGAUGGUAUUCAUAUUGAAAUGUAUUGAGUUCAUUUUAAAGAAAAAUGGGUUGAGGGCACACCUUAUCUUCAGAUAUGCGGGACAGCCAUGGGCACUAGAUUCGCCCCCAGUUGUGCCAAUAUUGUUGUGGCAAACUGGGAGUCAAAGUUCAUCUGGCAACACAAUCCGUUUUUGGCAAACCUGGCGCUAUGGAAAAGGUAUAUCUAUGAUAUUUUAAUUAUCUGGCAAGGGGAUUUACCCCUUUUUAAGGAUUUUAUUGAAUACAUGAACUCUAACAGUUAUGGUUUAGGCUUCACCCAAGAAGUAGGUGACACUAGUAUUAACUUCCUAGAUUUAACGCUGUUUGUAAACAAUGGAAUAGUGUGCAAUAAAACUUGUUUUAAGCCCACGGAUUGUAACAGUUUGAUAGACUAUGCAAGUUGCCACAAUCCACAGUGGCUACGAAACAUUCCAAAAAGCCAACAAAUGAGGCUGUAUGGGAAUUGUUCGAGAAAAGAAGAUUUUAAGAUCCAAGUGGAGUCAUUAAACAAGAACUUUUUAUAUAGGAAAUACCCUGAGGACUUUUUGAAAAAAUCCCAAAGGGAGAUAGAGUGUUUAAAUAGCAAAGAAAUUUUAAAAGAAAAACCCAAGAAAAUAGUUACGGAUGUAGAUGUUAACAUGGCCUUUUUAGCAAAGUAUAUCAGUAAAGCAACUAAAAUUGAGAAAGCCAUUUUAAUGCAAGAUAAAUACCUUCAGAAUAUUAUACCAGAAAGACCCAAGGUCAUAUAUAAGAAAACUGAGAACCUCAAAAUGAUUCUGGCCCCGAGUGUACUUCCUAAAAAAAAAAUAAGAAAAAAGAGGUAGUUUUUUACCUCAACAACCGAAGGGAUUCCACAGGUGUGGUAAUUGUAGUACAUGCAAAUUCAGGGCAAGAAAGACGACCACUUUUAAAAGUUUUAGUACAGGGGAGUCGUUUUAAAAUAAAACAUUUUAUCAAUUGCCAAAGCAAAAAUGUAGCAUAGUCAUAUAAGACCUUCACCAGAAAAACAUUUUUUGAACUCUCAUAUAAGCUUUUUCAAAUGUUGUACGUGUAGAAUUUGUAAAAUAGUGGGCCCACCUUUUGAGAAAACUUCUGAGUUUUUCUCUCCAGUCUCUACAUAUUUCAUCCUAAUCCCCCAGACACUCUAUCUUGAGAAAGCCUGAUCUAACGGGCAAACGCGUACAUUGAGUUUGGUGGGAAUUCCGAUUUUUGAAUAUUGGAAGCGAUCAGCAGCACUUGCAAGUCGGCGUUCCUUCAAGGGCAUCGGUUCCAGUGCACAGGACCGGUCUGCAGAAGUCCAUUAAGGAGCGGUAACCAUAUACAUUCCAACCAGUGCACUGUAUUGCACCAAUGUUGUUGUGGUGGCACUUAGAGAUAAGUUCCACCACUUUAUCUUGUAAGAGUUUUAUUUAGGGGGGCUUUAAGGGAAUAAACUAUUGUUACUUUACACUAUGUUAGUAUCUCUUUUAAUUUAAGGUUGGAUACAAAGUGGCAUUGGACGAGAUUUAUUUCAACCUCAGAACAUACAGACUAUUGUGUUACCACUGUUAUUCAAUAACUACCUGGAUACAUCCUUCCAUAUAUUAACAUUUGAACUCUAACAUUGCGGACUUGAUACAAAUAAUGUUUGUUGCUUUUUUCCCUAUUUUUGGUUGAUAAGGGAAUAUCUGCGCUGAUACUGGUUUUUAUUUAUUUCUAUCUAUUUUAUAUUGGAAACUUGGGAAGGUUUUUAUAGUAUCUGGCAACUGUUAACCAUUAUUAAAUAGUGUCUUAGUAAACUUAUUUUUAUUUUAUUUGCGCUCUCUUAUCUUUUUAAAUAGGUAUUUAAAAAGAUUGGGAUUAGAGACUCCUAUUCAAGCACCCCGGCUCUUGAGGAAGUCCUGACGAUCACGGGACGAAACGCGUCGAGCCUCAUAAGUAUUGUUUUACAACUCCACAGUUUGGUGACUUUGGACACUUUUUUAUCCUUGUUUAGCACUUUAUAGGUAUUAAUUACCUCUUGGAGUCCCAACCGAGGGGGUUUGUUUUACACCAUUUCAUACCUAUAGUGGACUACACUGUGCUGUAUAUUUAAAUUUGUUGUAUUAGUAUUCCCUCUUCAAUUUUGCUGCACAAUAAAUUGUUCACAUUUUUAAUCCAGAUAUUUCUAUCUCCUUCUCUGCCUUUCUUAUUUAUGGGCUUGAGUCCUGUUUUUAUACCCAUGAUUCCAGGAUAGGUAAAUAUGAGCUGAUGUGUAAGUACAAAGUUUUGUCAGUGUUCCUCAAUCUUUCUUUAUCA